GCCAGUGUGGGGUAGUGAUUUGAGACUAUGACUCUACAGGCCAGGGUUCGAAUCCCCGCUCAGUCG